rnacentral:rRNA from 1 species
CCCUUAGAUGUUCUGGGCUGCACGCGCGCUACACUGAUGCGAUCAACAAGUUUUUCCUAUGUCGAUAGACACGGGUAAUCUUUUGAACUCGCAUCGUGAUGGGGAUAGAUUAUUGUAAUUAUUAAUCUUCAACGAGGAAUUCCUAGUAGGUGCAAAUCAUCAGUUUGCAUCGAUUACGUCCCUGCCCUUUGUACACACCGCCCGUCGCAGCUACCGAUUGGUUGAUCUGGUGAAUUAUUCGGACUGCCGGCUGAAGGGGUUUCCUCAUCUGCCAGCGGAAAGUCUUGUUAACCCUAUCAACUAGAGGAAGCAGAAGUCGUAACA